rnacentral:rRNA from 1 species
UACAGAGGGUGCGAGCGUUGUUCGGAUUCAUUGGGCGUAAAGGGUGCGUAGGCGGCGCGGUAAGUCGGGUGUGAAAUCUCGGAGCUUAACUCCGAAACUGCAUUCGAUACUGCCGUGCUUGAGGACUGGAGAGGAGACUGGAAUUUACGGUGUAGCGGUGAAAUGCGUAGAUAUCGUAAGGAAGACCAGUGGCGAAGGCGGGUCUCUGGACAGGUUCCUGA